UUUUAUUUUGAAAUGAGUUGUCAUUGGGUUUAAAAGGGGGCAGGACAUGCUAUGAUAAGAGUUUUUAAAGGUUUGCCCUGGGAGUUCUUGCUGUGGCCCAGUGGGUUAAGGACCUGGCAUUGUUACUGUUGUGGCUUGGGUAGCUGCUGUGAAGCAGGUUUGAUCCCUGGCCUGGGAACUUAUGCAUGCCACGGGUGAAGCCAGAAAAAAAAAAUUAGAAAGAAAAAAGAAAAAAGUUUACCCUGGCUGCUGCCUGCUAUGUAUGCUGUGUAGUGGGGGAGAGGGAAGGGAAUAGUGGGUGAGGGCUCUAUCUGCAAACUAUUGCCAUAGUCUAGAUAAGAGUUGCUGAUAGUUUGGACCAGGGCAAUGGCUGUGGGGAUGGUGAGAGAUGGUAAGAUUUGGGAUGUAUUUUAGGAGCAGAGUUGACAGAAAUUACUCAUGAGUGGAAGGUGAGGUGAAGAGAAAGUAGGGAGGCAGGAUACCUCUCAGGUGUUACGCCCUCUCAUAACCUCUUCACUCACCUUUUUGUUCCAUCAGUUGCUGUGACAACAAGCUGGCGCGGGUGUAGUUUGCUGCACUUUGCAGCUCUUGUCUUCUGCUCCAGGGCACUCAGCUGCCUGGGGGAACCUGGAAAUCCAGUAAGUUCACACCUCAGGAGCAACAUCGGACAGAUGGUGGUUUGGAGCAGAAAAGGAGCAGGAGCUGAAAAAGCGAGGCCAGUCUUACAACUCACUGGACUUCUGGCAAGAAUCCCUCCCCAGAACCAACCCUAAUUGCUGACCUGAGUUAUACACAUUCAAGAGAGAAGUAGAAGGUUUUCAUUACAAGUCAUCUAACUCUGCAGGAGUUUGGCUUUGAAAACCCCCUGAAAAGGACUCAUGUGAAUAAAGCGGGGCCAUUCUCAUUGAAGCA
rnacentral:lncRNA from 1 species